AAUAAACCAACUUUUCAUUUUUUAUCUAUAAUUUUUGACUCUUCGUCUUAUUCGAUUUUUUUUACGAUUGAUAUUUUUAUUUUUAUUAGAUAAUAAAUCAUGAAUAGUACUGUACGUGUGAUUAUUUUUUUUUAAUUUCCUAAAAAUUUUUCAAAUAAGACGAAUGAUCAAACGUUGGACACAAGAAUCGAAG
rnacentral:pre_miRNA from 1 species